ACGGCAAUCUUCCAUACGCCGUAACUUCUCCGUCCGAGCUCCGAUCGCCGCACCGUUUGCGGCCACACGUCCACCGCGUUGAGCUCUACAAUUUCUAUUGAAACAAUUUCAUAGGCUAAUUAGCUUGAGAAAAACGUUCACUCUUGCUUAUGUGAAGCUUGGGUAAGGUUGUGAAUAAAUAAUUGGAGCUUAAAAUUGUGAAUAUUGGAACUUGGAGGAAGCUGACUAGUUGAAUUUUGAGGGGCUGCCUUGAUUUUGAAUAAAUAGCUUUGGUCGUUACAUAAAAAUCGGCCAAGGUAUGGUUUAGGUUUCUUGUAUUUAAUAUAUAAUGUUCUGUGAAAACUAAGGCUAGAUGACUAUAGGAUAAGCUGA